GCGACGACAUCGUGCAGACGUGCAGAAUAUCACGUGACAAACCACGACACAAGCGCACACGCAGUGCUGCGGACACGAGAUGCCUGAGUUCUCGCUAAGCUAAGGCACACAGCCACAAAGCUAAACCAGUAUGAGUAAUGUAUGAGUAGAUGGCCGUCCGUGGUCUGCCAGACGGUGAGCAUCUCUUGCCAUUUACCACAUGCAUGUAAAGCACGAUUCGUUCAAACAUUAGAUCACAUCGCUAUUCGGUCGGCACAGCUCAGUCUUCCAUUUCUCACGACACAGUCCAGUUGUCCGUUUUCGUCUCCCUCCCUUUCUCAUUUGUUGUAAACGUCUUCUAGUGUUGUUGAACAGUGCCUACCUACCUUUGUUAGUCGUGCAUUAUCCUUUCCAGUCAUUGUUACUCGUUCUCUCAACUACUAAUCAGUCUGUGGUGGCUACAACGCUCUCUCAGUGAAUAACAAGUUCAGCACAACGCUCUCUCAGUGAUUAACAAGUUCAGCACAACGCUCUCCUUCUCUAAACGACCUACUUACUCCAGUCAGCCCAGACCGCAAACGUUUGAGGAAGAUUUCACCGAACGGACAACUCACUCAACAUGUCCAGUCGAGAAGUAGAAGGAUUUGCUGUGGAGGUACGGCGACGGAAUGCCACAGCGGAAAGUCUUCAGGCUGCUGUGCCUCCUGAGCAGCCGCAAUUGUCCUCCACAUCACGUAAAGUGACAUGGAAAUCACGCUGCUACUCAAUGGGAACAAUGCUCCUUUUUGUGAUUUGCCGUGAGGGUCAGCAUCUUCGUGAUGAAAUCCUCUACACUAUUGUACACUACAUAUUUAGUGUACAUAGUGUAGAGGUGAAUGAGCAAGAAGAAACUGACUACAACCGGACACUACUGCACCACUGUGCAUUGUAUGGAAAUGAUCGACUAGCGAAUAUUCUCAUCGGACGUGGAGCUGAUGUCAAUGUGCAGGA